GAGCCGCACCAACGCCAGCCCGCCGCCAGUGAGCUGCUAGCCGGGACCGGGAGCCGGGAGCAGGGAGGCGGCCGGACGCGCGGACAGGCCCGGUGAGCGCGGCGGCGCUGUGGCAAUGGCAUGCUCCCUUACAGCACAAGGUGUUCUCAAGGGAAGCACUCCCUGUCAUGAUAUCGGAUACAACGCCUCAACCUGAUAAACCUGGACAUUCACAGAGGCUUUCAGGAUAAAUUAUCUAUAUCAAAUGGCUUCCAGGAUGGCCAGCCCCACAGGUUCCACCCUCUAGCAGCAGACCUGCCAGUAAGGAAAUCUUCAGGAGAGAUGCUUGGAACCUGGAAUAUCACCACCAACACGUUCUCUUUGAGAAGGGAGAGGUGUGGGCCAGCAGAAAAAGGUAUGCUGGAAUGUGGAGCCGACUACAACUGACGCCCAGCUCACGUCGUUGAUGGCAAAGAUGACUUCUCGUCCACAGAGUCACAAUUCCAGGUCUUCCAGUGUGGCUAACAGACACCCCAGCAAUGCCUGCACCUCAGGGCCAUCACUCCUCACUAACCUCCUCCUGCCCCCAUCAUGGCUGCCCGUUACCACUUGAGUAAGGAAUCGUUGAAUAUGCCCGAACAAGGCUGACUUCACCCAUUCAUUCAGUCUGCAAAGUCCACUCCCCUGACUCUGAUGAUGACCAAUUUCCAUUUACCCUCUGGUGUCUGUGUUUGGGCAGCAGGCAACUCCUGGCUGUGCAGCCUCAAAUUAGCACUCUCACUACACCACAUGACUCAGCAGCAAAGAACUUGCCCAUCUGAAACUAAUUAAUCUUCCCCACAUCCCUGUGAGGUAAGCAGGUGUGCUCACCUGCAGGUUAUAAGGAGGAAAUUGGGGAUGAGGAGGUUAGGAGCUGUGCCACGGGUUAUUAAGGGUGUCUGCCGGGGAUGAAGUCAUUCUGUAGUCAUCCCCGUUCAGUCUCCACCCGCUCCGGAUCCAGGCCUUUUCCCCGUGCUUUGACCACCUUACCAUUCUCUGGGCUUUUGUGAAGGCGCAGACAGAGUCCAGCAGAUACAUGCAUUUCAAAAGGAUAAAAGGUAUUAUGAUUUGCCCCUGCUAAAUGCUUUAGAUGUCUCUCCCACGAUAACUCGUGCCAGAAGUCCUCUCUCUCAGACCUUUUCCAGUAAAGGUAUCUUGUUAGGUAGAACUAAUACUGUCUCCUGGAAAGAGGGCUCAGAGUAAUACAGCUUCAUCCUUUUCCUGGGAAAGGCCUGGAGAGGUUCACUCUCGCACCUUCAGAGGCACAAGCCAGCACCCAGGCAGCCCUGGAGUUCAGGGUUAUUGGCUGCCCAGGCCUGUGAACUGCCCAGAGCACAGUGAUGGCACAGCCACCUCCACACACUUCAUCCGGGCCCUCUCGGCUCUGCAGCGUGCUUUGCGUCUCUGAUUGGUUCCCUAGGGCAGGUACACAGUCAACACUGCAACUUUCUCUACCGUAGGCCUUUCUGACUUUGCCAAAGAGAACCAGGAUUGGCUACUUCCAAGGGAGAAGCAUGCUUCAACCACCAAAACCAUGUCCUUUUUCCUUUGCUGGUUCUGCUUUCUCCUCCCACCUCCAGAUGAGGACCUGCCCCAGGCCUGAAACACAGGGAGCAGACGAAGGCGCUGCACACAGACAAGGGGAGAACCCACCAGCCCACGGCUUCCCCGGGGAGUUUAGAAGAGACCCCAGUGUCUCUUCUUAACAUCACGCAAGCAGGACAGGACAGGAGCUGGGAAUGCUGCAGCCAGGAGGACCCCAUCCAGAUCGUUACAAACAGCUCCCCCAGAUCAUUUGAUCUUAGGGAAGAAAAGGGAAUCAAACCCUGUGCCCCUGACGGGAAAUGACAGGAUGAACAUUUUCCUGGCUAAAAGUCUGAAAUAUACACCUUUGCCACACACAAAAUUUUCACCCAUUAUUUCUUUCCUUAUACUUUCCUCAUUUAAAAUGUACAAUUUCAUAGAAUAAUCCAAUUUAUACACCCUAAAUGCAUGAAACCCAUUUUUUCAGUUAUUCAGUCAGUAUUUAUGGAGCACCUAACACGUGCCAGGCAUCGCUUCGUUCACUGCCAAGGCUUCAGUCCCUAAAACAAAGUUGCUGCUCUCAGAGUUCUGACUUCCCAAUGCUUUGCUAAUGGUUUCCUGCAUGAGCCCUCACAAAGAACACCUUCCUUUUUUAAGGUAACAUUUUUUGAGGGUUUAUGCGUGUCAGGCACUGAACACCAUUAAUUCAUUUAAUUCUCACAGCACCCCUGUGAGGUGGUACGAUUUCUAUCCCCUCUUUACAGAUGAAGAAUUUGAAAUUUAAAGACAGGAUAAGUAACUUACCCAAGGCUACAAAGCUAGUAAAUCACAGAUAGGAUUAAAAUGUAGGUCCAGUUCCAAACUCCUCCAUCUUAAUCCCUACACUAAACUGCCUUCAAAACUUCUUAAAUAUAGUUGCU